rnacentral:rRNA from 1 species
CCCGACUGCUAUCAGAGUGAGACUAAGCCAUGCGAGUUAACGUAUGAAUAAUACGUGGCACACGGCUCAGUAACACGUAGUCAACAUGCCCAGAGGACGUGGAUAACCUCGGGAAACUGAGGAUAAACCGCGAUAGGCCAUAAUUACUGGAAUGGGUUAUGGCUAAAAUCUACAUGGCCCCUGGAUUGGACUGUGGCCGAUCAGGCUGUUGGUGAGGUAAUGGCCCACCAAACCUAAAACCGGUACGGGCUCUGAGAGGAGAAGCCCGGAGAUGGGCACUGAGACAAGGGCCCAGGCCCUAUGGGGCGCAGCAGGCGCGAAAACUCUGCAAUAAGCGAAAGCUUGACAGGGUUAUUCUGAGUGAUUUCCGCUAAGGAAAUCUUUUGGCACCUCUAAAAAUGGUGCAGAAUAAGGGGUGGGCAAGCCUGGUGUCAGCCGCCGCGGUAAUACCAGCACCCCGAGUGGUCGGGACGAUUAUUGGGCCUAAAGCAUCCGUAGCCGGUUCUACAAGUCUUCCGUUAAAUCCAUCUGCUUAACAGAUGGGCUGCGGAGGAUACUAUGGAGCUAGGAGGCGGGAGAGGCAAGCGGUACUUAGUGGGUAGGGGUAAAAUCCGUUGACCCACUGAAGACCACCAGUGGCGAAGGCGGCUUGCCGGAACGCGCUCGACGGUGAGGGAUGAAAGCUGGGGGAGCAAACCGGAUUAGAUACCCGGGUAGUCCCAGCUGUAAACGAUGCAGACUCGGUGAUGAAUAGGCUUCGUGCCUUUUCAGUGCCGCAGGGAAGCCGUUAAGUCUGCCGCCUGGGGAGUACGGUCGCAAGACUGAAACUUAAAGGAAUUGGCGGGGGAGCACCACAAGGGUGAAGCCUGCGGUUC